UACGUAGGAGGCAAGCGUUGUCCGGAAUUACUGGGUGUAAAGCGCGUGUAGGCGGCAGGCCAAGUCUGUGGUGAAAUCGCUCGGCUCAACUGGGCGGGGUCCAUGGAAACUGGUCAGCUGGAGGACGGUAGAGGUGAGUGGAAUUCCCGGUGUAGCGGUGAAAUGCGCAGAUAUCAGGAGGAACACCGGUGGCGAAGGCGGUUCUCUGGGCAUUACCUGACGCUGAGGAGCGAAAGUGUGGGGAGCGAACAGG
rnacentral:rRNA from 1 species